GUCGACUACAAUGUACUAGUUCUGCAACUAGUUACGCGGGAAGCGAACGCGGACCAGUCGAAAAAGAACCGAAAAACGAAGCCGCCUUCGGUUUGUUUUUGAAGGCGGCAAAUAACCGCAAUUCCGUGGAGUUACAGUGCCCACUCAGCUAGUUUUUACCGAGCCACGACAUGCAAUAAGCACCGAAAUGGUAAGUUAAUCGUGAUAUUUUACUGUAGUUGCGCUCGUGGAAUGAAAGAGACAAGAAUUUACACAAACAAAAUGCAUUUGUUUUCCUCGUUUGCUUUAUGCGUUGAUUUUGUUCACUUCUGUACAACAUCUAAUCGCUGGAAGAGUCUUUUGUGUAAACAUUUAUUAAAAAAGUGGAAAAGAAUUAAUAAAUAAAUCAAAUUAAUAUAAACAGACUCCGUAAGAGUGAAAGGGAAGCUAACAUUGCAAAGUUAGCGUUGUGCAGGAAAGAUAACAGAUAACAGCAAGGAAAUCGAUUCCAGCUGGCGUUUUGAGCGGCUUAAACUUUAUUUUGAGUGAGGAAAUUGUUCUAGCGUAUAACGUCGAUGGGGUCCAAGGGAAGAAGGCCCUUAGGACCCACAAAGAAUUUUUUGCAGCUUUGCUAGAAUGUAUUUCGCCUGGCGAUGAGCCCCCCGAAAACACUGUGCGGAAGGCAAUGCAAAGGAUGAGGAAAAGGGUUUUUAAGAAGAAGUGUCUUGCCAAA